AGCGAACGCUGGCGGCAGGCCUAACACAUGCAAGUCGAACGGAUCCUUCGGGAUUAUUGGCGGACGGGUGAGUCACCCGUGGGAACGUGCCCUUUGGUUCGGAACACCUCAGGGAAACUUGAGCUAAUACCGGAUGUGCCCUUCUGGGGAAAGAUUUAUCGCCAUUGGUGCGGCCCGCGUCUGAUUCGCUUGUUAGUGAGGUAACGGCCCACCACGGCGACGAUCAGUAGCUGGUCUGAGAGGAUGAUCAGCCACACUGGGAGUGGGACGCGGCCGAGACUCGUACGGGAGGCGGGAGUGGGGGAUGUUGCGAAACGGGGGAAGGCAUGACGCUGCCAGGACGCGUGAAUGAUGAAGGUAGUAGGAAUGUAAAAUUCUUUCAGCGGGGAAGAUAAUGACGGUACCCGCAGAAGAAGCCCCGGCUAACUUCGUG
rnacentral:rRNA from 1 species